CUUGCAAGUAAACUCCACAAGAAAGAAAGAAAAAAAAAAAUCUGCUGCAUCAACCUAAUUGAUAAAUGAGUUUUAGUAGUUCUUUUGCUGGUCCAAAAAUAAAUUUCUUAUAUAUACAGCAGCCUGUUUCUCUCAAUCUGGACCUUCAAUUUGGGACCAAAGAAUAGUAAUUAGAGCUCAGUUUUCAUCUGGGGGAAUUGACUUGGACCUGCAUUAAGCAUUAAUUCAAUACUUUGUUAUCAACAAAAAUUUGAUAGAGUUUAGAUGGUGAUUAAGGAUUUGUUUGAUUAAUUUUUCUUACCGGUAAAGUUGUGUGUUGAUUCCCUGUUCAGAUUCUGGCCAAAACCCAUCUGAACAAUAGUUUGGAGGUCAUCCUCACAGAAUAAUGAAUACUGGACAUAAUUAGAGAAGCAAAUUCAGGUAAACAAAUAAGGAAAAUGAUUAGGGAAUGGAAAUAUUAAAGCUUGGUUAAUUAUGGAUAAUUAAUUUUAAUUACCUGAGGACCACUAUGGUUAAAUCCUUCAAGUGGGGGUAACUGCAUAUUAAGGCUUUGGCAUAGUCCAGUAUCUAAUGCGUCAGCAGAGCAUUGGGUCAUUGUCCCACUAGAAAUGUUGCUAUGUAGUGCUGGAGUUUGCUGGGGUUGGUGUUGGUGGCCAAAAAUGGCUGAUGCCGAGGAAUCUAAUGGGAAUAUUGGAUGUGGCAAUUGGUUGGUUGAUUGAAAUAUAUCUUUUGAAUUGAGAGUAUCCAUGUUGAAAUCCAGCCUGGUGUUCACAGAAGCCAGCUUCAUGGAGAGAAACUCCACUUGGCGUUGCAAUGACUGCACAUAGUUUAUAAUUUCAUCAAGCAUAAGAGCUUUGCCUGUGACCUUAUUGCAACCUGGUACAAGAUCUUGGAGAAGCUUCAUUCUUUCACUGAUUUUCUCUCUUCGAACUCUUUCAGCUAAGCUGUGACUAUCUGUGGCUUGACCCCUUCUUGCUCUGACAUGAAUGUAGUCCUUAGGGGGCUCAGGAGGCUUUGUGUUGUUAUUCUGGUUUUGUUUCUCAUCCCCACCACUUCCCUUCUGUUCUUCCUCUGCUUUAACAGCACUUUUUUCAUUUCCAUUCCCUUCAUUUGUCUUGCUUCGCUUUGUGUUUGAAUUAUCAUCAGUUUCUGCAUCCUUAGCUGCACAAUUGGCUGGUGGGGUUGAUCCUGGCUGUGAUUCUUUUGCUUUUGCCUUGGAAACUGCUUUUCUUUUCUUGGAAUUCAACUCACUGGUCGACUUCAAAGCAGCUUCCCCAUUUGGGGUUUGUUCAGAUACGGAGGACUCCUCCUGUGAAGAAUUGGCCAAUUCGGAUCUAUCUUGCAAUGGAGAACUCUUGUACCCUUUUUGAGAUCCAAUUACCUUGAGAGAGGGACUGCUUGAAACCCGAGGUAGCUUGCCAUUUCCCAUUAAUGGAUUGCAUUUAUAUGCAAAAUCUGCAUUGUUUAGCCCCAUCUGGCUGCUUCUACCAUUGAAACUCCUGCUGCCAAAGCAAGAGAACCUUGCAGCUCUCUCGGCGAAUCCAGGAUCAGCUGUGAAUUCUGCUACACUAGAAUUCAAACCCAGAGGUUUCCCCAAACUGGGAAAUUUCAAAUUUUCCUUGGAAAAUUGAUCUAAUGGAGGCAAAUCCAGCUUUGGCGGUGAAUUCAAAGGAGUACUAUAACAGGAAGUGUUGGCGCUGUUAUUUCCAGGGGUAAUAUAUGAAGCCGCCAACAUAGGCCGGGAAUGCGGGGAGAUCUCGCCAGAAUUGUUGUUGGUGCUGCCAAUGUUUCCUAAUUUUCCUAUGAGUUCUCUGAUCACAAAGCUCUCGCCGGAUAUGUUAGAAUUGGAGGCCGCUGGCGAGGACACCAUUGAACUCAGAGCAGAGUCAAAGUGGAGACCUUGAUCCGUUGACUUUUCCCAGUUAGGAGUGAAGAAACAAUCAGGUGACUGCUCAGUGGAGCAAUUGAGUUCAUUAGCUUGCAUUUCCAUGGCCGAAGAGAGUGAAUGCCAAAUGGGCAUUGCAGAUGUUGAAGUUGGCUCAAAGUGCAAUGGCGGCGGAGGGAUUUGCGCAUUCAGAAAGAACUCACCCUCCAUAAUCAAUUGUUACCUAUAGAAUUCUAUAAUCGGAGAAAACAACAAAAACCCAGUUAAAGAUUCAGCAAAAAGACUCUAAAAGAGUUGCAGAAAAACCUAGUAUUCUUAAAAUCCAAGUGAAAUGAGCAUACAGAAAGAGAAAAAAAAAAGGAAGAAAACAAAGGAGAAGGGGGUUGGGUGGAAUAGCUGAAUGGUGAGUUCAAAUUGAUUGCAUUAAUAAUGGAAAAACAGAGAGAAGUUUGGUAUGAGAAAGGGAAAAAAAAUGUUUGGUGAAUACAAGCUAAGCAAAAGCUAAUAGGGGGAACUAGA
rnacentral:misc_RNA from 1 species